UAAUACAGAGGGGGCAAGCGUUAUUCGGAAUUAUUGGGCGUAAAGGGCGCGUAGGCGGCCAAGCAAGUCAGGGGUGAAAUCCCUCGGCUCAACCGAGGAACUGCCUCUGAAACUGCAUGGCUUGAGACCGGGAGAGGGUGGUGGAAUUCCCAGUGUAGCGGUGAAAUGCGUAGAUAUUGGGAGGAACACCGGUGGCGAAGGCGGCCACCUGGACCGGUUCUGACGCUGAGGCGCGAAAGUGUGGGGAGCAAACAGGAUUAGAUACCCUGGUAGUCCACACUGUAAACGAUGAGCACUCGGUGUUGUGGGUGUCGACCCCUACAGUGCCUUAGGAAACCCGUUAAGUGCUCCGCCUGGGGAGUACGGUCGCAAGGCUG
rnacentral:rRNA from 1 species